rnacentral:tmRNA from 1 species
GGGGAUGAUCGGCUUCGACGUGUAAUCGUGUGGGUUUGUGCAAAGACGAGCUGAGACAACUCGCAAAACUGUUUCAACCAAUACGUGCAAACACAAUCGCACAAAAAGCGAAGGCAAUCGUUUCUCCGUUUUACACAGCGAACGACUUCGCUUUCGCUCACGCCUAAAUAUAUCCGACACCUUGUGUGUUUAGGAUCCUGACGCGCUUUGCGCGAACGGUUGCCUGAGCGACGCUCGACCCCUGACAUCUGAUACGGGAUUUCGAGUGUUAUCCAUCAGAUUCCAACACAGCAACUAUUUCCGAGCUGUGCCACGUUCAAGGGAAUUGCGACAAUACACUUCUUUGUUUGUUUGAUGAGUGUGUUGAUCAAAGAUUUCCAAACAAACUAUUCUUUGUAGAGUCAUUCACAUACCUUGCAUGGACGGGGGUUCAAUUCCCCCCAUCUCCACCA